rnacentral:rRNA from 1 species
AAUAUUUGUCAAUGGAGGCAACUCUGAACCAGCCAUGCCGCGUGCAGGAUGACGGUCCUAUGGAUUGUAAACUGCUUUUGUACAGGAAGAAAAAGAGCUACGAGUAGCUUAUUGACGCUACUGUAAGAAUAAGGAUCGCCUCACUCCGUGCCGGCGGCCGCGGUAAUACGGAGGAUCCAAGCGUUAUCAGGAAUCAUUGUGUUUAAAGGGUACGUAGGCGGCCUUAUAAGUCAGCGGUGAAAGUUUUUGGCUUAACCAAAAAAUUGCCGUUGAUACUGUAGGGCUUGAAUUUUUGUGAAGUAACUAGAAUAUGUAGUGAAGCGGUGAAAUGCUUAGAUAUUACAUGGAAUACCAAUUGCGAAGGCAGGUUACUAACAAACGAUUGACGCUGAUGGACGAAAGCGUGGGUAGCGAACA